CAGCAGCCGCGGUAAUGCGUAGGUGGCAAGCGUUGUCCGGAAUUACUGGGCGUAAAGCGCACGUAGGCGGCUUUGUAAGUUAGAGGUGAAAGCCUGGAGCUCAACUUCAGAAUUGCCUUUAAGACUGCAUCGCUUGAAUCCAGGAGAGGUGAGUGGAAUUCCGAGUGUAGAGGUGAAAUUCGUAGAUAUUCGGAAGAACACCAGUGGCGAAGGCGGCUCACUGGACUGGUAUUGACGCUGAGGUGCGAAAGCGUGGGGAGCAAACAGGAUUAGAUACCCGAGUAGUCCCUGUCUCUUAUAC
rnacentral:rRNA from 1 species